rnacentral:rRNA from 1 species
UACGAAGGGGGCGAGCGUUGUUCGGAUUUACUGGGCGUAAAGGGCGCGCAGGCGGCUCAUUUUGUCAGGCGUGAAAGCCCCGGGCUUAACCUGGGAACUGCGUUUGAUACGGAUGGGCUAGAGUUCGGGAGAGGAGAGUGGAAUUCCCAGUGUAGAGGUGAAAUUCGUAGAUAUUGGGAAGAACACCGGUGGCGAAGGCGGCUCUCUGGACCGAGACUGACGCUGAGGCGCGAAAGCUAGGGGAGCAAACGGG